AGAGUUUGAUCCUGGCUCAGGAUGAACGCUAGCGGCAGGCUUAACACAUGCAAGUCGAGGGGCAGCGCGGGGCGGCAACGUCCUGGCGGCGACCGGCGGAAGGGUGCGUAACGCGUGAGCGACAUGCCCGUUGCCCGGGGACAACCGGUGGAAACGCCGACUAAUCCCCGAUGGGAUACGAUGCUGCAUGGCAUUGUAUUGAAAGUUACGGCGGCGACGGAUUGGCUCGCGUCCGAUUAGCUGGUUGGCGGGGUGACGGCCCACCAAGGCUACGAUCGGUAGGGGUUCUGAGAGGAAGGCCCCCCACAAUGGGACUGAGACACGGCCCAUACUCCUACGGGAGGCAGCAGUGAGGAAUAUUGGUCAAUGGGCGGAAGCCUGAACCAGCCAUGCCGCGUGCGGGAAGGAGGCCCUAUGGGCUGUGAACCGCUUUUGCCUGGGGGCAAUAAGGGCGUCGCGCACGUCCGAUGAGAGUACCAGGCGAAUAAGCAUCGGCUAACUCCGUGCCAGCAGCCGCGGUAAUACGGGGGAUGCGAGCGUUAUCCGGAUUCAUUGGGUUUAAAGGGUGCGUAGGCUGUGCGUCAAGUCGGGGGUGAAAUUCCGGUGCUCAACACCGGGGCUGCCCUUGAUACUGUCGCGCUGGAGUGCGGAUGCCGCCGGAGGAAUGAGUGGUGUAGCGGUGAAAUGCUUAGAUAUCACUCAGAACACCGAUUGCGAAGGCAUCUGGCGAAUCCGUAACUGACGCUGAGGCACGAAAGCGUGGGGAUAGAACAGGAUUAGAUACCCUGGUAUUCCACGCCGUAAACGAUGAUGGCUAACCGCCGGCGACACACUGUCGGUGGCCAAGCGAAAGCGAUAAGCCAUCCACCUGGGGAGUACGUCGGCAACGAUGAAACUCAAAGGAAUUGACGGGGGCCCGCACAAGCGGAGGAACAUGUG
rnacentral:rRNA from 1 species